rnacentral:rRNA from 1 species
UACGAAGGGGGCUAGCGUUGCUCGGAAUCACUGGGCGUAAAGCGCACGUAGGCGGCUUCUUAAGUCAGGGGUGAAAUCCUGGAGCUCAACUCCAGAACUGCCUUUGAUACUGAGGAGCUUGAGUCCGGGAGAGGGUGAGUGGAACUGCGAGUGUAGAGGUGAAAUUCGUAGAUAUUCGCAAGAACACCAGUGGCGAAGGCGGCUCACUGGCCCGGUACUGACGCUGAGGUGCGAAAGCGUGGGGAGCAAACAGG